rnacentral:lncRNA from 1 species
GCUGGUGGCUUCUCCGCACCAGGGACACGGAUGAGCGCCGCUGGCCGAUCAUGAAACAGGGGAAAAGGAACUUUCUUCAGAUGAGUCCCAAGCAUUGCUUUGUUUCCAGGAAAGGACCAAAUCCUCUCCUUGAUGGUCUUCAGUCCUGUCACACUCAGCUCCUGUGUAUGCUCAGUGGGAAGCUUAUAUAGCAGCGUCCGAGGCACUCCCAUUGCAAACGCACGGCGCCAGGGGCUGCUCCGGUUUCUGGGACGGGGG